CCUACGGGGUGCAGCAGUGGGGAAUAUUGGACAAUGGGCGAAAGCCUGAUCCAGCCAUGCCGCGUGUGUGAAGAAGGCCUUCGGGUUGUAAAGCACUUUCAGUGGGGAAGAAAGCCUUGGGGCUAAUACCCUCGAGGAAGGACAUCACCCACAGAAGAAGCACCGGCUAACUCCGUGCCAGCAGCCGCGGUAAUACGGAGGGUGCGAGCGUUAAUCGGAAUUACUGGGCGUAAAGCGCGCGUAGGCGGUCUGAUAAGCCGGUUGUGAAAGCCCCGGGCUCAACCUGGGAACGGCAUCCGGAACUGUCAGGCUAGAGUGCAGGAGAGGAAGGUAGAAUUCCCGGUGUAGCGGUGAAAUGCGUAGAGAUCGGGAGGAAUACCAGUGGCGAAGGCGGCCUUCUGGACUGACACUGACGCUGAGGUGCGAAAGCGUGGGUAGCAAACAGGAUUAGAUACCCCAGUGUC
rnacentral:rRNA from 1 species